CUACUCUUGACAUCCAGAGAAGCCAGCGGAGACGCAGGUGUGCCUUCGGGAGCUCUGAGACAGGUGCUGCAUGGCUGUCGUCAGCUCGUGUUGUGAAAUGUUGGGUUAAGUCCCGCAACGAGCGCAACCCUUAUCCUUGUUUGCCAGCGAGUAAUGUCGGGAACUCCAGGGAGACUGCCGGUGAUAAACCGGAGGAAGGUGGGGACGACGUCAAGUCAUCAUGGCCCUUACGAGUAGGGCUACACACGUGCUACAAUGGCGCAUACAGAGGGCAGCCAACUUGCGAAAGUGAGCGAAUCCCAAAAAGUGCGUCGUAGUCCGGAUUGGAGUCUGCAACUCGACUCCAUGAAGUCGGAAUCGCUAGUAAUCGUAGAUCAGAAUGCUACGGUGAAUACGUUCCCGGGUCUUGUA
rnacentral:rRNA from 1 species